rnacentral:tRNA from 1 species
GUCGCUUUGGCCGAGUGGCUAAGGCGUCUGCCUGCGAGAGUUCGAAUCUCUCGGGCAACGCUAGAUGUUGAAUUCUUCAUUGCUUCUUUCAUUUAUAUGGCAUUGUCUUUUUAUAUGGGAGGGUUUCCCCGCGAGAGUUCGAAUCUCUUAGGCGACA